GCCAGGCAAGGUGUUGCACGCCUGUAAUCCCAGCAGCUUGGGAGGCUCAGGCAGGAGGAUUAUGAGUUCAAAGCCAGCCUCAUUCAUGGUGAGGCGCUAAGCAACUCAGUGAGACCCUGUCUCUA
rnacentral:sRNA from 1 species